AGGUGCGACCAUACCAACACUAAUUCACCGGAUCCCAUUAGAAUUUCGCAGUUAAGCGUGCUUGGACGAGCACUACUAGGAUGGGUGACUUACUAUAAUGUCCUUAUGUUGCACCUC
rnacentral:rRNA from 1 species